rnacentral:miRNA from 1 species
UUCUGGAUGGCACAGUUCAUUGAUGCUUAAAGAAUGGUUGUCCGUAGUAUGGUCUCUGUAUUUAUGGUGAUUAAUAUCAGAUAGCCAUUGUUUUAGUAUCCAAACGUCCAG